UAGCUAGUUGGUGGGGUAAGGGCCUACCAAGGCGACGAUCGGUAGCUGGUCUGAGAGGAUGGCCAGCCACACUGGGACUGAGACACGGCCCAGACUCUUACGGGAGGCAGCAGUGGGGAAUAUUGGACAAUGGGGGGAACCCUGAUCCAGCAAUGCCGCGUGUGUGAAGAAGGCCUGAGGGUUGUAAAGCACUUUCAGUGGGGAGGAGGAUUGAUUGGUUAAGAGCUGAUUGAUUGGACGUUACCCACAGAAGAAGCACCGGCUAACUCCGUGCCAGCAGCCGCGGUAAUACGGAGGGUGCGAGCGUUAAUCGGAAUUACUGGGCGUAAAGGGUGCGUAGGUGGUUGUAUAAGUUAGCUGUGAAAUCCCUGGGCUCAACCUGGGCAGGUCAGCUAAGACUGUAUGACUCGAGUAUAGGAGAGGGUAGUGGAAUUUCCGGUGUAGCGGUGAAAUGCGUAGAGAUCGGAAGGAACACCAGUGGCGAAGGCGGCUACCUGGCCUAAUACUGACACUGAGGCACGAAAGCGUGGGGAGCAAACAGGAUUAGAUACCCUGGUAGUCCACGCUGUAAACGAUGUCAACUAGUUGUUGGCCUUAUGAAUGAGGUUAGUGACGC
rnacentral:rRNA from 1 species